rnacentral:rRNA from 1 species
GUAGGUGGCAAGCGUUGUCCGGAAUUAUUGGGCGUAAAUCGCGCGCAGGCGGUUUUUAAGUCUGAUGUGAAAGCCCACGGCUCAACCGUGGAGGGUCAUUGGAAACUGGAGAACUUGAGUACAGAAGAGGAAAGCGGAAUUCCACGUGUAGCGGUGAAAUGCGUAGAGAUGUGGAGGAACACCAGUGGCGAAGGCGGCUUUCUGGUCUGUAACUGACGCUGAGGCGCGAAAGCGUGGGGAGCAAACAGGGAUUAGAUACCCUGGUAGUCCACGCCGUAAACGAUGAGUGCUAAGUGUUAGGGGGUUUCCGCCCCCUUAGUGCUGCAGCUAACGCAUUAAGCACUCCGCCUGGGGAUACGGCCGCAAGGCUG